rnacentral:rRNA from 1 species
GACGAACGCUGGCGGCGUGCUUAACACAUGCAAGUCGAACGGAAAGGCCCUGCUUUUGUGGGGUGCUCGAGUGGCGAACGGGUGAGUAACACGUGAGUAACCUGCCCUUGACUUUGGGAUAACUUCAGGAAACUGGGGCUAAUACCGGAUAGGAGCUCCUGCUGCAUGGUGGGGGUUGGAAAGUUUCGGCGGUUGGGGAUGGACUCGCGGCUUAUCAGCUUGUUGGUAGGGUAGUGGCUUACCAAGGCUUUGACGGGUAGCCGGCCUGAGAGGGUGACCGGCCACAUUGGGACUGAGAGACGGCCCAGACUCCUACGGGAGGCAGCAGUGGGGAAUAUUGCACAAUGGGCGGAAGCCUGAUGCAGCAACGCCGCGUGCGGGAUGACGGCCUUCGGGUUGUAAACCGCUUUCGCCUGUGACGAAGCGUGAGUGACGGUAAUGGGUAAAGAAGCACCGGCUAACUACGUG